UACGGAGGGGACUAGCGUUGUUCGGAAUUACUGGGCGUAAAGCGCACGUAGGCGGUUUUGUAAGUCAGGGGUGAAAUCCCGGGGCUCAACCUCGGAACUGCCUUUGAUACUGCAAAUCUCGAGUCCGGAAGAGGUGAGUGGAAUUCCUAGUGUAGAGGUGAAAUUCGUAGAUAUUAGGAAGAACACCAGUGGCGAAGGCGGCUCACUGGUCCGGUCCUGACGCUGAGGUGCGAAAGCGUGGGGAGCAAACCGG
rnacentral:rRNA from 1 species